GACGAACGCUGGCGGCGUGCCUAAUACAUGCAAGUAGAACGCUGAAGGAGGAGCUUGCUUCUCCGGAUGAGUUGCGAACGGGUGAGUAACGCGUAGGUAACCUGCCUGGUAGCGGGGGAUAACUAUUGGAAACGAUAGCUAAUACCGCAUAAGAGUAGAUGUUGCAUGACAUUUGCUUAAAAGGUGCAAUUGCAUCACUACCAGAUGGACCUGCGUUGUAUUAGCUAGUUGGUGGGGUAACGGCUCACCAAGGCGACGAUACAUAGCCGACCUGAGAGGGUGAUCGGCCACACUGGGACUGAGACACGGCCCAGACUCCUACGGGAGGCAGCAGUAGGGAAUCUUCGGCAAUGGACGGAAGUCUGACCGAGCAACGCCGCGUGAGUGAAGAAGGUUUUCGGAUCGUAAAGCUCUGUUGUAAGAGAAGGACGAGUGUGAGAGUGGAAAGUUCACACUGUGACGGUAUCUUACCAGAAAGGGACGGCUAACUACGUGCCAGCAGCCGCGGUAAUACGUAGGUCCCGAGCGUUGUCCGGAUUUAUUGGGCGUAAAGCGAGCGCAGGCGGUUAGAUAAGUCUGAAGUUAAAGGCUGUGGCUUAACCAUAGUACGCUUUGGAAACUGUUUAACUUGAGUGCAAGAGGGGAGAGUGGAAUUCCAUGUGUAGCGGUGAAAUGCGUAGAUAUAUGGAGGAACACCGGUGGCGAAAGCGGCUCUCUGGCUUGUAACUGACGCUGAGGCUCGAAAGCGUGGGGAGCAAACAGG
rnacentral:rRNA from 1 species